rnacentral:tRNA from 1 species
GAGGCUAUAGCUCAGUGGUAGAGCACAUGCUUAGCGUGCACGAGGUUCUGGGUUCAAUCCCCAGUACCUCCU